rnacentral:rRNA from 1 species
GAUGAACGCUGGCGGCGUGCCUAAUACAUGCAAGUCGAGCGAACAGACGAGGAGCUGGCUCCUCUGACGGUAUCGGCGGACGGGUGAGGAACACGGGGAUAACCUACCUAUAAGACUGGGAUAACAUUGGGAAACCGGGUCUAAUACCGGAUAAUAUAUUGAACCGGAUGGUGCAAUAGUGAAAGUCGGUUUUUCUUAGACUAAUAGAUUGACCCGCCCCGCAUUAGUUAGUUGGUAAGGUAACGGAUUACCAAGGCAGCGAUGCGUAGCCGACCUGAGAGGGUGGUCGGCCACACUGGAACUGAGACUCGGUCCAGACUCCUACGGUAGGCAGCAGUCGGGAAUCUUCCGCGAUGGGCGAAAGCUUGACGGAGCAACGCCGCGUGAGUGAUGAAGGUCUUCGGAUCGUAAAACUCUGUUAUUAGGAGAGAACAAAUGUGUAAUUAACUAUGCACAUCUUGACGGUACCUAGUCAGAAAGCCACGGCUAACUACGUG